GACGAACGCUGGCGGCGUGCUUAACACAUGCAAGUCGAACGGAAAGGCCCUGCUUUUGUGGGGUGCUCUAGUGGCGAACGGGUGAGUUACACUUGAGUUACCUGCACUUGACUUUGGGAUAUCUUCAGGACACUGGGUCUAAUACCGCAUAGGAUUUCCUGCUGCUUGGUGGGGGUUGGUAAGUUUCGGCGGUUGGGGAUGGACUCGCGUCGUAUCAGCUUGUUGGUGGGGUAGUGGCUUACCAAGGCUGUGACGGGUAGCAGAGCUGAGCGGGUGACCGGCGAAGUCAGGACUGAGCUGAGACCCAGACUCCUACGGGAGGCAACGGUGGAGAAUAGUACACAGUAGGCGGAAGCCUGAUGCGGCAACGCCACGUGGGGGAUGACGGCCUUCGGGUAGUGAACCACUGUCGCCUGUGACGAAACGUGAGUGACGGUAAUGGGUAAAGAAGCACCGGCUAACUACGUG
rnacentral:rRNA from 1 species